GUAAAUUACCCAGACUGCAAAAUAGUUAUUUUUUUCAUCUGAAUUUUAACAAUGAAGAAAUGAGGAAGAUCAAUUCUUGUUUGGGAAUAAAAGCAACAUCAUUUGUUUUUUUUCAACAGAGUUGCCAGCAUUCAAUUUGUCCGUGAUGUAUUUUGUUCAGAGCCCAGAGAUUACUGCCAUUAACUGUCUACUUUCAUGAUUUGUGUGUUCCUCAAAUUUAUCUUUAAUGCAGCUCAAAUAAAAUAUGUGCUCUUAAAAAUUAGUUCCAUAUCCUUUCUAACUAAUAUUGAACUAAGUAACUCAGAAGUUGGUCUGGGCUUUAAACACAGACUGUGUGUUUAUGCUCACAUCACUCUUGUUUGUUGCCUUUGGUUCUCUCAGUCUCACAACACUGUGGCUGUUGAUGAAUGUGCUCUCGUCUCUGUUUGGGUUGAGCAAUAUUAGAAUUACUGAGUGAUUCUCAUUUACUUCCCAGAAAGAACUGUAGGGAAGACGAACACAAAACAUAAAGAUAACGAAUCUGUGAUGCAAAUACAUUUCUCGAAAGCUCAAAUUGAAAAUAAGACACAACUUUUUUUCUUUUUAAUAGAAAAAAAUUCCUUUAGUGAGAUGUUUACCAACCGGAGAAACAACCAUAGCAAAUGUACAGUGAUUGUGGUGCACUAGGCUCACUAAUAGGGUUCCCAGAACCCACACCACAAUAUUUGAUGUCGGAAGUAAGUAUAGGACAUGAGUAUGUACCAUUUCCAAGGGACCAGAAGUUUCCUUUCUGGCUACUGGACUUUCCACUGUAGGGCAGACAGCUCUGUUCUUUAUAUUUGAGGACACUUUUUAGUUCCACAUUAAAACUGGUCGUUUUCUGGAAAAAGGUGUUGAAGACUAUCAACUGCUCUCCUCAACAACACAGAAAGAACCAGGCAAUGGGCAGUUUAUAGUUUUGCAAGAUUGUGAUCAUAGUGACCUGGGGGAAGAAAAGGCUUGCUUGUCCCUUUGGCCCAAGGAAAGUUGGGGCCUGAACAAGGUUAGGGCACACUUAUGUGGAGGAUGCCCUCCAACAUUGGCAUUAGGACAGUGGACAGGGCUUAUGGUUGGAGUUCUCUAGUUGAAACCCUAUGGACAGGUGAGGUGGGAAGACUGCAGAUGAGCAAAACUAUUCGAAGCUGUGUGCUGCCCCUCAUGAUUCUCCUCAGCUUACCUCGCACCUCCAGGAAUCUGUGUCGGGAUUACUUCAUGGUCUUGGCUGUGUUUAGGAGAAUGAAAGUGAAGCCUCUGAGUAUAUGUGAGGCCCAGCAGUCCACAGGACAAGGAAGGGGUCAGAAGCCAUGGCAGAAGAGCAAGCUCAAGGGCUAGAGCGAAAGUGCUGCAUUUUAGAACAAAGCAGCAGUUGAGCAUCUUCCAGGGCUCUUGAAAACCAGAUGGAAUGAAGAAAAUUUUUGCAUUGGUGAAAGAUGAAAACUCUGGCUAUAGUAGAGAGGAUCUAAAGAAAAGUGUACCCCAUUGUUAAAGAAAAGUGUACCCUGUGGUUAAAGAAAAGUGUACCCCAUGGUUGAGACUGUGGAGGUUUCUGUGCUAUAAGCUUGACAUAGAAAUCUAUUAAGGGUGGCAACACCAGUUGAUAGAAAAUUAAAUAAUCAUAUUUGAGAAUAGUGGCUAAGUGGCAGAACUCUUGCUUGGUUUGCAAGAGGUCCUAGGUUCAAUCCCAAGCAUGUGUAUGUGUGUACACAUUUACACACACACAAUAGUCCUUUUUUUGUUUACCCACCUGUCUUCCCUAUCUCCCUCCUUUCUCCCUCUUUCUCUCUCUCCCCUUUUCUCUCCCCCCUCUCUCUGUGCAUAUUUUCCCUGGUGUGCAUGUGAAAGAAAAACUUACACAAGACAAUUCUGUCUUUCCACCAUGUGGGGUCCAAGAGUCAAACUCAAGUCAUCAGCUUUUCCAGCAAAUACCUUUACUGACUGAGCCAUUUUGCCAAACCCAGAAUAGUCUUUUAAAACAAAUAAUAUUGGAGCAAUUUGGGUAAUCAAAUGUAGAAGAAUUAAAUUUGGCAUCUAAUACUGAACAUUAUACAAAAUUAGUUCAAAGCAGAUAGAAGACCAAAGGUAACUACUUAAUCUACAAAAUUUAUAUUAAAAAACAAUAGGAAUAACUCUUUGGGUACUGCCCAUUAGCAGGAGAAUAUCAAAUAUAACAGCAAAAGCAUGAGCAAAAACAGAUAAGUUGGAGGUCAUCAAAAAUAUAAACUUAGAGAAUGUUAUCAAGAAUGGAAGAAAAUAUUUUAAAAAUGUAUCAAGUGUUAAAAAUUAGUAACAGAAGGGAGACAGUUGAAUAAAAUGUGCAAAAGAUUUGUAUCAAUAAGUAAAUGACAGUCAGUGUUAUUAGUCACAGAGAAAAUGAAAAUCAAAGCCAACAAGUGUUAGUAAGAAUGAAGCAGGAAGAUGAACCCUUAUACAUGUUGGCCCAUAUAUAAAUUGUUCCUGCCAUUAUGGAACUUAAUAUUCAGGCUCAUUCAAAACUGAAAAUAGAUUUUCAUGUGCUCCAGAUAUAUAACUUCCUGGUUUAUGUUGAAAAUAUUCAAAUCAGCUUAUUAUAGAUGUUACUUGCUUCUCGUGGUCAUAGCUUCACUAUGCGUAUUAGCUAAGUUAUGGUACCCAUCAGCAGAGGAAUGGAUAAAGAAAAUGCCCCCCCAAACACACAUAGACACACACACACGCACACACACACACACACACACACACACACACACACACACUUUAUUCAGCUAUAAAGGAGAAUUAAUGUUGGUGCUGACCUCUAGUCCCAGUCAUUUGGGAGGCUGAGGCAGAGGAUCACAAGUUUCAAGCUUUCCAGUGCUAUGGAGAGAGUAGAGGCCAUCCUGGGUAACUUAAUGGUCCCUGUUUCAAAUUUGAAGAAGAAGAAGAAGAAGAAGAAGAAGAAGAAGAAGAAGAAGAAGAAGAAGAAGAAGAAGAAG
rnacentral:lncRNA from 1 species